GCCGAAACUCUAUUAUCAAAUCAGAUUGAAUCGGCGUUUGACAUUAUCAUUUUGUUAUAGAAUUAUACAAAUGGCUGAAUAACUUGUAAAAUAGAACAAAAUAAUAAUGAAUUCAGUAUGUUUAAAUGAAAAAAUCGUCUUCGGAACACCCGUACAUUCGGCGUCGACUCAUUGUUGUUAUCAGUUCAAUGAGAGGAGAGAUUACUUCAAAUCAGGAGUGUUACUUUUUUAAAACUCCAUUUUACCUAGUGUACACUACUGAUUAAAAAAAGGUCCUCAUUGUUUCGCCAAAAACCCUCAGAAUAGGACGCAUAUACGGGAUCAUAAUAAAUGAAUCACAGAUACGCGUCGUUGUCAGUAAUAUUAAUUUAAUCGUAAGCAUAUCAACAUUUUGUAGAACUUAAUAAGAUGAAUUGCUAAAAAGCUAUUGGUGCAUCUAAUUUAAACACUUUAUUAUAAAAGUUAGAGCUAUUAUUAAGUUUAGUUUCCUAUUCGCUUACAAUUUUCAAAACAAAUCCCAAUUUGUUUGAUUCGUUUUUUGAAAUUGUUCAGGUCUACUAUAAAAAAAGUCAAUCAUUAUUUUAUAGUUAAAAAUAUUCCACUUACUUGUUUACAAAAAAAAACAGCUGUAUAAAAUAGCGUGUGUUCGAAUGAAACUUUCGCAAUAAACUAAAUGAGAUGUGUAAUAUGUGCGUAUUGUUUAGUCGAAGUACUCGCACUGUUAUAUUACAACGGCCAACCGAGCCAGUUGCAUUAUAAAGCUCCCAUUGGUGUGGCGAAAUUCACAUUUUUUUAUCAUAUAGUUCGUAUGACACUAUGUUAUCAAACAUUUAGAUAUGAUAAAACUUUGACACUCAAUACAAGUCCAUCAAAUAUGAAACCAUCACUUCAGUCACGUCAACAGCGCUCAGCAAGUGUAAAAAUAAGAAUAAAUUGAAUAAUUUGUUAUGCAAUAACAAUAAAAUCAAAGUCACUACCGCUCAAUCCAUCAACUCAUUUCAUUCUUUUUAGUAUUUAUUAUUGUUUUUCUAGUUGACAAUGCUCAAGUGCUGGCUAAAUUUGGUAUCAUUAUAAUGCCAUACAAUAAUUGAGCCGUAUUUGUAUUGUAUUGAAUUGUAUUCUUUUUGCAUGUCUGCCGUUCAGCUUUUUGCACUUGAUAACAGAUAAUAUUCCAUUUAUAGAGUACGUUGUACGUACUUGUUAUAUUGAUUUAGAAUCCACCGGGCGAAGGAAGUGAAUCACUCCAUAAAAAGCAAUCAAAUCAAAUGAAAUUAUAAUAACAAUGUGUCGUUUUAUGAAGAAUUCGUUUAUUACUAAAAAGGUAAUUAUGUUUAAUGAUAUGAAGAAAAUAUUAUUACCGUUCAAAAGCCAAAUUUUCUCAUAUCACAAAAAAACUUGAAAUUUAAGUGAAAUGUCAAGGAUGAUUUUUAUCACAAAAAUUGAUAAAUUGUAAAUUAUUAUUUUUACAUUAUGGAAAAAUCUUUCGAGCCGAUAAUAGCUUCCGGCCAAGUUUUACAAUCCAAAAAAUUGUCAAUUUUGCGUCACGCCUAUAUACAGCGAAAUUUAGAAAUCUUUAACUACUUUUGAAAACUAUCAUCCAUUUUCUGAAAAAUUACCGAAAAGUGAGCCCCAAUUAAAUACAUUAACCUCGCUAAAUUAAAAUCCGAAGCUAUUGACAAACAUGAAAUUAUAUUUUAUUCACGAUCUGAACUUUAAUAAAAUGCAUAAUCAAGUCUAGCAUGCUCAACAUUUGUUUGUACUUCGGAAUAUAUUUUAAAUAACUAAUCACUCAUUCAAACAAAUGGUUGUGAGAAUCGCAGUGACGACAGAAUAUGGAUCACAAUUGGAUGACGGACGACGAUCUUCAAAAUAGCCAAAACCAACAUCGGCCACACCUUUUGGGAUGCGAACUGAAGCAGAUCGAUCGCCAACGCCUAUAAAACAAAUGAAGAGUACAUUCAAUAAAGAAUGUCUGAAAAAAUCCGGUCCUUUUUAUAAAGUAAAUGAGUACGUUUACCAGCACUAAAUUGAUGAAUUGAGCUGCUCGCAUUUUUACCAGUCAAACGACGUUCAUUAUCUUUUCCACCAUUUGGAUCAUAGGCUUUGAUAUGUUUCUCAUGGCAUUUCGAUAGUUUAUCGAUGGCAUCAUUGAUGGUUGUAAUUCCACCCUUUUCGCGCAUGGUUUUGGUUGACACAUUAAUAUGGGCUCCAGAACCAAACCAUUGUGGUCCACUCACUGGCUUUGGAUCAAACGUAACUACAAUCUUUAAAUACAAUUUCCAAUAAAUUUAAUAAAAAAACAAUUAUUUAAAAUACACUCUUGAUUAUCUUACACCAAAUUCCUCUGCUAUUCUAUGCAAUAAGAAACGAGCAACCCAUAGAUCAUCACCAAUGACGAUACUAGAAGAUGGUCCAAUCUGAAACUCCCAUUGUGCCGGAUGUCCUUCAGCAUUUGUUCCACUCAUUUUUAUACCGGCAUACAGACAGGCACGACUUAACAAAAAAAAACUACAUACCUUCAACAACAUCGCGGCCGUACGUUUUAUUGGCACCGACACCACAAUAGCCGAGAACUCGAGCGUCUGGAUAACCAGUUUUCGGCCAACCAAGCGGAUGCCCAUCAAAAUCUAAAAAUGUAUAUUCUUGCUCAAUGCCAAACCAUGGCUCCUCAGCGGCACAUUUAUCUGCAAUUUUGACACAUUCAUUGCGAGUAUUGUUGAAGGUUGGUUUGCCAUCGUCCAAAUAGGUUUCACACCAUACUAAAAUGUGAUUUGCACGACGGAACGGAUCCUUGUAUAUUCUGACUGGAUGCAAAAACCAUUCAGAAACAGAGCCAUCAUCUUCAAGGUGUCCUGCCCACCAAAUUGGAAGCUCUAAAAAAUAAUUGUAACAUUUUCAAUUAUGAUUAACACUGCCGAAUACACAUUCGAUUUAGAUGUCUUUAACACAAAUUUGAAAACGUUUUAUUCGUCUUAAUUUCAAUUUAAAAAAUGGAUUUCUUCAUCGAAAGAUUGAUUUCUUACCUUUGACAGACUUUGGAACAAAGUCAAGAACUCGAUCCUUAGAAUGAAUUGGUUGAAUAAUAUCGGGAUCAAGCCAAAGAUAAGUUACCAUUACUACAUUUUCUGGAAAUCCUAAUGAUAAAUAACGAUCUAACACGUUUUUGUUGAUCAAUGCGUUUGGUGAUGUUUCCAAUGUUUUCGACAUCUGAAGUAAAAAGAAAAAGUAUUAAAUCACAACAAUCAAAUUCGUAACUUCUAGAAAGCAAAAGAAAUAUAUGUCAUGCGUUAAUAUAAAAAACUAAAAAAUAUCUACCUCUUCGUGUUAUAUUUUACGUGAUUUUUCUCAAACUGAUUU